GGUCAAGUGAAGAAGCGCAUACGGUGGAUGCCUUGGCAGUCAGAGGCGAUGAAAGACGUGGUAGCCUGCGAAAAGCUUCGGGGAGUCGGCAAACAGACUUUGAUCCGGAGAUGUCUGAAUGGGGGAACCCAGCCAUCAUAAGAUGGUUAUCUUACGCUGAAUACAUAGGCGUAAGAGGCGAACCAGGGGAACUGAAACAUCUAAGUACCCUGAGGAAAAGAAAUCAACCGAGAUUCCCUUAGUAGUGGCGAGCGAACGGGGACUAGCCCUUAAGUGGCUUUGAGAUUAGCGGAACGCUCUGGAAAGUGCGGCCAUAGUGGGUGAUAGCCCUGUACGCGAAAAUCUCUUAGUCAUGAAAUCGAGUAGGACGGAGCACGAGAAACUUUGUCUGAAUAUGGGGGGACCAUCCUCCAAGGCUAAAUACUACUGACUGACCGAUAGUGAACUAGUACCGUGAGGGAAAGGCGAAAAGAACCCCGGAGAGGGGAGUGAAAUAGAUCCUGAAACCGUAUGCGUACAAGCAGUGGGAGCCCACUUUGUUGGGUGACUGCGUACCUUUUGUAUAAUGGGUCAGCGACUUAUUUUCAGUGGCGAGCUUAACCGAAUAGGGGAGGCGUAGCGAAAGCGAGUCUUAAUAGGGCGUCUAGUCGCUGGGAAUAGACCCGAAACCGGGCGAUCUAUCCAUGGGCAGGUUGAAGGUUGGGUAACACUAACUGGAGGACCGAACCGACUACCGUUGAAAAGUUAGCGGAUGACCUGUGGAUCGGAGUGAAAGGCUAAUCAAGCUCGGAGAUAGCUGGUUCUCCUCGAAAGCUAUUUAGGUAGCGCCUCAUGUAUCACUGUAGGGGGUAGAGCACUGUUUCGGCUAGGGGGUCAUCCCGACUUACCAAACCGAUGCAAACUCCGAAUACCUACAAGUGCCGAGCAUGGGAGACACACGGCGGGUGCUAACGUCCGUCGUGAAAAGGGAAACAACCCAGACCGUCAGCUAAGGUCCCAAAGUUAUGGUUAAGUGGGAAACGAUGUGGGAAGGCUUAGACAGCUAGGAGGUUGGCUUAGAAGCAGCCACCCUUUAAAGAAAGCGUAAUAGCUCACUAGUCGAGUCGGCCUGCGCGGAAGAUGUAACGGGGCUCAAACCAUACACCGAAGCUACGGGUAUCACGUAAGUGAUGCGGUAGAGGAGCGUUCUGUAAGCCUGUGAAGGUGAGUUGAGAAGCUUGCUGGAGGUAUCAGAAGUGCGAAUGCUGACAUGAGUAACGACAAUGGGUGUGAAAAACACCCACGCCGAAAGACCAAGGUUUCCUGCGCAACGUUAAUCGACGCAGGGUUAGUCGGUCCCUAAGGCGAGGCUGAAAAGCGUAGUCGAUGGAAAACAGGUUAAUAUUCCUGUACUUCUGGUUAUUGCGAUGGAGGGACGGAGAAGGCUAGGCCAGCUUGGCGUUGGUUGUCCAAGUUUAAGGUGGUAGGCUGAGAUCUUAGGUAAAUCCGGGAUCUUAAGGCCGAGAGCUGAUGACGAGUGUUCUUUUAGAACACGAAGUGGUUGAUGCCAUGCUUCCAAGAAAAGCUUCUAAGCUUCAGGUAACCAGGAACCGUACCCCAAACCGACACAGGUGGUUGGGUAGAGAAUACCAAGGCGCUUGAGAGAACUCGGGUGAAGGAACUAGGCAAAAUGGCACCGUAACUUCGGGAGAAGGUGCGCCGGUGAGGGUGAAGGACUUGCUCCGUAAGCUCAUGCCGGUCGAAGAUACCAGGCCGCUGCGACUGUUUAUUAAAAACACAGCACUCUGCAAACACGAAAGUGGACGUAUAGGGUGUGACGCCUGCCCGGUGCCGGAAGGUUAAUUGAUGGGGUUAGCUAACGCGAAGCUCUUGAUCGAAGCCCCGGUAAACGGCGGCCGUAACUAUAACGGUCCUAAGGUAGCGAAAUUCCUUGUCGGGUAAGUUCCGACCUGCACGAAUGGCGUAACGAUGGCGGCGCUGUCUCCACCCGAGACUCAGUGAAAUUGAAAUCGCUGUGAAGAUGCAGUGUAUCCGCGGCUAGACGGAAAGACCCCGUGAACCUUUACUAUAGCUUUGCACUGGACUUUGAAUUUGCUUGUGUAGGAUAGGUGGGAGGCUUUGAAGCGUGGACGCCAGUCUGCGUGGAGCCAACCUUGAAAUACCACCCUGGCAACUUUGAGGUUCUAACUCAGGUCCGUUAUCCGGAUCGAGGACAGUGUAUGGUGGGUAGUUUGACUGGGGCGGUCUCCUCCUAAAGAGUAACGGAGGAGUACGAAGGUGCGCUCAGACCGGUCGGAAAUCGGUCGUAGAGUAUAAAGGCAAAAGCGCGCUUGACUGCGAGACAGACACGUCGAGCAGGUACGAAAGUAGGUCUUAGUGAUCCGGUGGUUCUGUAUGGAAGGGCCAUCGCUCAACGGAUAAAAGGUACUCCGGGGAUAACAGGCUGAUACCGCCCAAGAGUUCAUAUCGACGGCGGUGUUUGGCACCUCGAUGUCGGCUCAUCACAUCCUGGGGCUGAAGCCGGUCCCAAGGGUAUGGCUGUUCGCCAUUUAAAGUGGUACGCGAGCUGGGUUUAGAACGUCGUGAGACAGUUCGGUCCCUAUCUGCCGUGGACGUUUGAGAUUUGAGAGGGGCUGCUCCUAGUACGAGAGGACCGGAGUGGACGAACCUCUGGUGUUCCGGUUGUCACGCCAGUGGCAUUGCCGGGUAGCUAUGUUCGGAAUAGAUAACCGCUGAAAGCAUCUAAGCGGGAAACUAGCCUCAAGAUGAGAUCUCACUGGAACCUUGAGUUCCCUGAAGGGCCGUCGAAGACUACGACGUUGAUAGGUUGGGUGUGUAAGCGCUGUGAGGCGUUGAGCUAACCAAUACUAAUUGCCCGUGAGGCUUGACCAU
rnacentral:rRNA from 2 species